GAGUGGCGGAAAUGGUAGACGCGCUAGACUUAGGAUCUAGUGGGGUCACCCGUGGGGGUUCGAGUCCCCCCUCUCGCA
rnacentral:tRNA from 1 species